UGGGGAAUAUUGCGCAAUGGGGGAAACCCUGACGCAGCGACGCCGCGUGCGGGAUGAAGGCCUUCGGGUUGUAAACCGCUUUUGAUUGGGAGCAAGCUUUCGGGUGAGUGUACCUUUCGAAUAAGCGCCGGCUAACUACGUGCCAGCAGCCGCGGUAAUACGUAGGUGGCAAGCGUUGUCCGGAAUUAUUGGGCGUAAAGCGCGCGCAGGUGGUUUAGAAAGUCUGAUGUGAAAGCCCACGGCUCAACCGUGGAGGGUCAUUGGAAACUAAUAAACUUGAGUGCAGGAGAGAAAAGUGGAAUUCCUAGUGUAGCGGUGAAAUGCGUAGAGAUUAGGAGGAACACCGGUGGCGAAAGCGGCUUUUUGGCCUGCAACUGACACUGAGGCGCGAAAGCGUGGGGAGCAAACAGG
rnacentral:rRNA from 1 species